GGAGAUUGUUCCUUUGUGGAGUUCUUGUGAUGAGCCUUGACAUCGGUGAGCACCUAUAUUGAAGGCCUCAGAGUUGACCUGGGCAGAUGGAGCAACAGAUUACAGGAAUCACAAGUGCCAACCGAGUUGCAUACUGUGCUGCAAUAGAAAUUCUGUGAUCCUAGUGGGGAAUUCCUGCUCCCCUGCACCCAGUGCCUUCCUGGCAGACAGAUGUUUCCAGAUGGGAAAUGCACUGGAAUAGAACGGGAUGGUUGAAGUUCAUCAUCUGCUCAUCUCUUGAUAGAGAUCAAUAUAGAUUAGAGGUUUUUAAACAAACAGCUCUUGAAAACUACAAGGCAGCCCCAGUCCAGAACAAGGAACGAGCACUGAUGCUGAUGGAGAUAUCUGUUUGAUGCAUUCAGUUUCUAGCAGCCUGGCCUUACGGUGAGCUCCACACCCAGCCCUGCCUUGGUGCAGCCAACAGGGACAGCAUGCAACCAAGGAGAAACGUUCUGACGUGUGUGACAAAUUACUAUUUUUAGAGCUAAAGGGAGAUAAUUAUUUCUCAGUUCUGGGGUCUCUUUAAUUCCCAAUUGGCUCUGUACAAAAACAUCCUAGUUCUUGAGCUCUCUGUACUGCUUGCAGCACUUCUACUGAUGCAAGCAGUUUUAUAGAGGGAAGAAACUACUUGUAAGUAAUGGUUUCAGCACAACCAGGGAUUUUUGAAGAGAUGUGGUUACUCACAGUAUGCUGGGAUGUUACAAAGGCCUAAAUACACCAUUAGCAUCUCUAGCAGCUAAAUGUCUUUUUUUUAAACCUGUCCUUUAGUCUCUGGGAUUGAUUAAUGGGACAUUCCUUGUUGUGAAUAAUUCAAUGCCUUGGAACAGUAGUCCAAUCACAGCUGAUUAUAAAUGAGCACUCAUUUUAACUGAUGCAGAUAACCAUGCCAACACUACAGCAAAUACGUUACCAAGCAUUACAUAUGGAUACUAUAAGGUAAACAAGAAGCUGAGAAUUCCAUCAUCUGACAGUGCAUCACUAUCAAGUAAUUUCUAAAUAUUUCACCAUUGUUUAGACUGCGUAGAAUAGCUUGUUCCUGAUAAAAUGUUUUGUUAGGUAUCAUUAAAAACAUAAAGGAGUCACAUUCCCUUUGUUACCAGUUCAAACACUUGCUCAGGAUAUUGGAAAUCAAAACUCCUUCCAUGACUCCCAUAACGGGCUACAGCUCCCUUCCAACAAGUAAAGACCAGGGGGAAGGAAUAGCAAAUGACUGACAAAUUAAUUCAUGUUUUUGUACAGGAUCUGCUCUUCUAACAGCAAUAUUCAAUGCAUGAUAGUAUUACAGCUUUACACAAACCAACUUCUACUAGUCAGUUCUAAGUUAUGAAAUCCUUUUAUGAAGGGUCUUAUUUGCCUCCAGAAAUAAAAGCUUGAUCUUUAA